GACGAACGCUGGCGGCGUGCCUAAUACAUGCAAGUAGAACGCAGUUGCGAACGGGUGAGUAACGCGUAGGUAACUGCCUCAUAGCAGGGGAUAACUAUUGGAAACGAUAGCUAAUACCGCAUACUGUGAGAUGGACCUGCGUUGUAUUAGCGAGUUGGGGAGGUAAAGGCUCACCAAGGCGACGAUACAUACCGGACCUGAGAGGGGAGGCGGCCACACUGGGACUGAGACACGGGCCAGACUCCUACGGGAGGCAGCAGUAGGGAAACUUCGGCAAUGGACGGAAGUCUGACCGGGCAACGCCGCGUGAGUGAAGAGGGUUUUCGGAUCGUAAAGCUCUGUUGUUAGGGAAGCGGUAACUAACAGGAGAGGGACGGCUAACUACGUGCCAACAGCCGCGGUAAUAC
rnacentral:rRNA from 1 species